rnacentral:tRNA from 1 species
UGUAACUUAGUUUAUUUAGAACCGUCAACUUGCAUUUGACAGGAGAGACUUCUCAGUAGCGG